AUUGAACGCUGGCGGCAGGCUUAACACAUGCAAGUCGAACGGAGUGGCGGACGGGUGAGUAAUGCCUAGGAAUCUGCCUGGUAGUGGGGGAUAACGUCCGGAAACGGGCGCUAAUACCGCAUACUAUCGGAUGCGCCUAGGUCGGAUUAGCUAGUUGGGGGGGUAAAGGCCCACCAAGGCGACGCUCCGUAACUGGUCUGAGAGGAUGAUCAGGCACACUGGUACUGAGACACGGUCCAGACUCCUACGGGAGGCAGCAGUGGGGAAUGUUGGACAAUGGGCGAAAGCCUGAUCCAGCCAUGCCGCGUGUGUGAAGAAGGUCUUCGGAUUGUAAAGGACUUUGAGUAGGGAGGCGGUACCUGCAGAAUAAGCACCGGCUAACUACGUGCCAGCAGCCGCGGUAAUAC
rnacentral:rRNA from 1 species